GAGGCGCAAGGCAGGAGACUCCAGCCCUGGGCUCAAGUGUGACACUGGGCUGGGUGCACAGGGGAUUCCUGAGGCAGGGCAAUCUUGAAAAGGAUGUGGUUGAUACAAGACUCCCCAGGGAAUGUCAGCACCAGCCUGCACCCCUUUCCUCUGAGGAACACAGGUGCUCCCUGCUCCCUCUGUUCUGGCCUGCAUUCCCCGCAAAGCCCUUUGCCCCUGCAUAUGAUCUCUGUGCCCUCCACAGAGGCCAGGGACCUGAUGGAAGCCCCAACAUAGAACCUGCUGUGUUCCCCCCACAGCAGCCCAGCCCCCUUUCAACUACCAGCAAGAGAGCAUUAGCCCAGCGCCAGGCUCUCUGCAAUCCUGCCAGUGGCAGGUAGGGCAGUGUCAGACACCAGAGCCUCACCAAAGACCUUGCCUCCUUUGGGCAUCUGCGGAAGAGCCAUCCUGUUUUGCCUUGGGGUUAAGGGAGUCUUGGGAGCAGUUUUAUUCUGGUGCUUGUUUGCAGCUCCUACCUGGACAUGAGGGGGAAAGAGAUAUAGGAGGUUAAGUUUUGUAGCUCAAUAAAGCAAACAGCAAUCUGUGA